rnacentral:rRNA from 1 species
UACGUAGGGUGCAAGCGUUGUUCGGAAUCAUUGGGCGUAAAGCGCGUGUAGGUGGUUAUUUAAGUCGAUUGUGAAAUCCCUGGGCUCAACCGAGGAAGUGCAGUCGAAACUAAAUAGCUAGAGGACGGCAGAGGAAGGUGGAAUUCCAAGUGUAGAGGUGAAAUUCGUAGAUAUUUGGAGGAAUACCUGUGGCGAAGGCGGCCUUCUGGACCGGUCCUGACACUGAGACGCGAAAGCGUGGGGAGCAAACAGG